rnacentral:rRNA from 1 species
CUCUUCUUGUUUAUCUUUUUGAAGUAUAACCUGCCCACUGAAUUAAGUAUUUGAAGGGCCGCGGUAUUUUGACCGUGCAAAGGUAGCAUAAUCAUUAGUCUUUUAAUUGAAGACUGGAAUGAAUGGUUGGACGAGGAAUAUACUGUUUCUUGAUAAUAUUAUUUGAAUUUAAAAUUUAAGUUAAAAUGCUUAAAUUUUUUUAUGGGACGAGAAGACCCUAUAGAGUUUAAUAAAUUUUAUUAUUGUUUUGUUUGUUAUAAAGGAUUAUAUAGUAUAAUUUAUUUUGUUGGGGUGAUAGGAAAAUAUAGAAUUAAUAAACUCUUUCUUUUAUUAAUAUAUUUAUUUAUAAUUUUAAGAUCCAUUUUUGUUGAUUAUAAGACUAAAUUACCUUAGGGAUAACAGCGUAA